rnacentral:rRNA from 1 species
UCUUUAGGGAAAGCAAAUGUUUCACUGUAAGUAAAACAACUCGCUCAACAGCAAGGUUAUCUUGAUAUGAAUUAGUAUGGGAUGAUGAGAUAGGCUCGGUCCGUAUUUUGUUGGUUUUAGUGGUCUGAGAAUGAUGAAGAGGGACAAUUGGGGGUAUUCGUAUUUACAUGUCAGAGGUGGAAUUCUUGGAUUUUGGAAAGACGAAC